rnacentral:rRNA from 1 species
CCAGACUCCUACGGGAGGCAGCAGUGGGGAAUAUUGGACAAUGGGGGGAACCCUGAUCCAGCGACGCCGCGUGAGUGAAGAAGUAUUUCGGUAUGUAAAGCUCUAUCAGCAGGGAAGAAAAUGACGGUACCUGACUAAGAAGCCCCGGCUAACUACGUGCCAGCAGCCGCGGUAAUACGUAUGGAGCAAGCGUUAUCCGGAUUUACUGGGCGUAAAGGGAGCGUAGGCGGCCUGCCAAGUCUGAUGUGAAAUACCGGGGCUCAACCCCGGGGCUGCAUUGGAAACUGGCAGGCCGGAGUGCCGGAGAGGCAGGCGGAAUUCCUGGUGUAGCGGUGAAAUGCGUAGAUAUCAGGAGGAACACCGGCGGCGAAGGCGGCCUGCUGGACUGAAACUGACGUUGAGGCUCGAAAGCGUGGGGAGCAAACAGGAUUAGAUACCCGGGUACG